rnacentral:rRNA from 1 species
GUCCAGACUCCUACGGGAGGCAGCAGUGGGGAAUAUUGCACAAUGGGCGAAAGCCUGAUGCAGCAACGCCGCGUGAAGGAAGAAGGGUUUCGGCUCGUAAACUUCUAUCAACAGGGACGAAAGAAAUGACGGUACCUGAAUAAGAAGCCCCGGCUAACUACGUGCCAGCAGCCGCGGUAAUACGUAUGGAGCAAGCGUUAUCCGGAUUUACUGGGUGUAAAGGGAGCGCAGGCGGCCUUGCAAGUCUGAUGUGAAAGGCCGGGGCCCAACCCCGGGACUGCAUUGGAAACUGCGAGGCUGGAGUGUCGGAGAGGCAGGCGGAAUUCCUAGUGUAGCGGUGAAAUGCGUAGAUAUUAGGAGGAACACCAGUGGCGAAGGCGGCCUGCUGGACGAUGACUGACGCUGAGGCUCGAAAGCGUGGGGAGCAAACAGGAUUAGAUACCCUCGUAGU